rnacentral:lncRNA from 10 species
AUCCCCCAGCUUUGCCCUCCCAAAGUGCUGGGAUUACAAGUGUGAGCCACCAUGCCUGGCCUCUCUGCCCCAUUUCUAAUAUGUGUUAUUUUUCCAGAGCAUACGAAUGAGGAAUAAAUCACAAGAGUGUUUUUUUUGUUGUUUAUUUUAUUGCUUCUCUCUCUUCAUUUAAAUAGGUGAAAAUUUGCCAUUCAGCAGUGAUUCAUAGGGCGGUAUGUGGAGGUGGAGGUACAUUAUUAUCUGUAUUAGGGCUCUUAAAACACUGAAACCGGGCUAAUCAUGAAGGCCAAUUCAAGGUGCUGACAGCCUUCCUGGAUGGGUAUGAAGAAAGAUUGUGUUAAGCAUAUUCACUGUUUAGUUUUAAACACAGAUUCUGCUGAAGUGGUUGGAAAAGUGCUUGGAAGCAGUUUACAUUACUGAGUAGGUCCAGCAUAUUCCCUGUGCUCUCUGUCCACUGGCUCUGGAGUGUUAGCAGAAGACUAGACAACAGAGUGCAUUGAACAGGACUCUCCUGGGCAACGCUGGAACCUCAGACCAGCAUGGGUCAUUUGAACCCAUUCAAUGAAUUAGCGUCUACACAAUGUAUGUAAUCAAGGCCAUCAAGAUGAGAGUAAGGAACUUGCCAUGUAAGUAGCCAUGACAUCAGAUCCAGCCUUGUCCCCUCUGCCAAAACAAAAACAUAUUAAUUUGUAAUACUUAAAAAUGAUGAAGACAUGUGUAACGAGGUCCUAAUAUGUACAAAGAAAUGUUAGAUGUGCCUCAUGCGCAUGACCUUAUUUCAUCAUCAUUUUAAGAUGGAGUCCAUAUUUCUGCCUACUCUUUUACACCAGUACAGAUAGAGAAACAGGCAUUUGCAAACAAGAGAUUAUACUCCAGGUAUUUUUUUAAAUUGGAAAUUUUAAGAAUGUUUUCUCAAUAGUUAAUAUAACAACUAGACAAAAUACCAGCACGGACAUAGAAAAUCUAAAGAAUAAUACACAUGUCUAGAACACUGUAUCAAACAGCUAAUACACAGUGUUUUCGAGUGCAUGUGGUACAUUCACCAAGAUAAGCCAUUUACUAAGGCAUUAAACAAGUCUCGAUAAAUUUUAAAAGCUUGAUGUUCUUUGGUCAUAGUAGGAGAAAAAGCAUUUGACAACAUUGAACAUCAGUUCAUAAAAAAUCCCAGCAAAUUGGGAUUGGAAGGGAAUUCUUGUCUGAUAAGGAGCUUCUACAAAAACCUAUAGCUAACGUCAUACUUAAUGGUAAAAUGUUGAGUGUACUUCAGGUAUUUUUAAGUGGGUAUAUUUAAGCCCUUAGUUCAUAUAAUUGCAAGCAAGGCUGAGGGAGAAGGAUCUAGCUGUCAUAUUAUUUUCCAUGGUGUUAAGAUUAAUACCCACUAAAACAGAUACUGUUAAUAUUCUAUCUUUAUCCCCUUGGUACUCUUGGCCAUUUUAAUCCACCUUAGCUCUGCUUUUGCUUUUUCCCCCAAUAGCCAGAAUCUGUGGCUUUUUGUCACAGGACUACAGAACCAACCUCCUUUUGUCUCCAAGCAUGAAGAGCCAGUAUCUGAGAAUUAAAGUCCUCCAGAGAGUAGACUUUAGCUAAUAAUUGGUAGAUAUAUAGUUAUAAGUAUUCCAGCUCUGUUGUUCUGUUUGAGACAACUGUGAUUUGUGACCUGUAUUGUCUCCAGUGUCCCCCUAUUGGAUUGUGCCAAAGUGAUCCUAAAUGGUACCUUGGUUGAUAUCAAAAUAUUGUUCGGCCUUCUUCCUCUCCCUGUUGCAUGGUCCCACUCCCUGGUCACUAUAUUUUUACUUGGACCACUUCCUAAUAUAUCACUUUCCGAUGAGUCCUCAAUCAGAGUCAGCUUAUGGGGAACCCAAUCUAAAGGCACAGCCAAGUUGUUUUCCAAAAUAUUUCUUUUACUUUACACUCUUGCCCUCAAUGUUUGUGGUCCCAUUUCCUCACUAGUAUUUGGUACCAUCGGUCUAACUUUUUGUCAAGUGUGUUGCUUUAAUUACUUUGUAUUGACUAAAUUUAUAUGUUAACUAUGCAUAUUAACUUUUUGGAGUGAUCACUAAAAUAAUGUAAAUAGAAUGUAUAACUUCUUAAUGAGUAGAAAAAAGUAAUGAAUUAAUACAAGGAACUUAGAACGUUUUAAUUACAAAUAAUUGCCUCCCAGGGUAAAUGUUCUUCUUCUCAUUACUUUAGCUCUGUUUUUUCAUCUUCAAAUUAGACAUUUAUGCUAUUGUUUGUUUAGAUUUAGCCAUGUAUUUGCCAUUUUCUUUGCCAGCAUUCCAGACAUUUAUACUAGUACAUUUUCCUUCUUCUAAAGUAUAUCCUAUAGAUAUACUCCUUUAAUAAUGGUCUAUUAGGGAAACUGUGAUGUCUUUCAUUUUCUGAAAAGUUAUUUUAUCCUCAUUCUUUUAAAAUUAUUCUUGUUGAGUCUCUUUGACUUGUGGAACCAUUCAUAUCUCUUUUUUUCUAUAUAAUAUUGUAUUAUGUACCACCAAAACCUUAGUGAUGCAAUAGUUCUUAAAUGACAAUUUCACUUUUUUGUCCUAAAUUUUUCCCGUUAAUCCAUCGUCAUCAGUUUGGCAAGUUUUGAUACAGGUGCUUUUAAUGUUUGCAUGUAAGCAGGCAGUAACUAUUAUGUCACAGCAGCCCCUGGGCCAACAACAAUUCAUAAUUUUGAUUGAUUGUAAUAAACACCUUGAUAUAAGAGAUAUUAAAAAGUGACAAAUUUGAAUAGAAUUGAUGGAAACAGCAUUAUUCUGUAGUCUUUUAGCUUCCAUUUUUGCUAUUAAAAAAUUAUUUGUCAGCCUAAUUUUGUGUUUCCUCUUUAGUUGUUUGAAAGAUCUCUUUGUGUUUGGUGUUCUGUAACUUUUCUACUGCUUAUCUAAAUAUACAAUCCUUUUUCUUUUUCUGAUAUUAAAAAAACUGAGAUAUGUUACAUCCAGCAAAGGAUAAAAAUCUUAAGUGUAUAACUAGAUGAACAUUUACAUAUGUAUACAUCAGUAUAACACCACUCAGAUCAAUGUAUAGAACAUUUCCAGCAUUCAAAAGGACUCUCAUGCCCCCUCUCAGGCAGGAGCCUCUUAUGUAUAAACAUUCUUCUGACCUUUAUUACCAAAGAUAAACUUUACCUGUUUUUGAACUGCUUGUAAAUGAAAUUAUACAGAAUUUAUGCUGUAUGUCUGUGAGAUUCAUCUAUGUUGUGUGUUUCAAGUGUUCAC